GGGGAAGGAAAGGAGAAGGCAAAAGUAGCACAUUUAAUCUCAAGACAGGGAAAAAUCCAAUAAAAAAUUUACUGUACGUAAAAGGAUGAAAGGAACGCAAGCAAAAGGAGAAUACGAUCAGGUCAAUAGGCGGAAAUAAUAAAGGAAGACAUCAUCUCAUCCCAGUUUAAGAAAUGGAAUGUAACUACUUCAUUUGUGGAAAUAAACAAUACCCUCACAUGCAUACAAAGAUAUAUUUACCUACAAAGAAAUCUUGCCAAUUU
rnacentral:misc_RNA from 1 species